UCCCGUCUACUACAUACAACGUUACUACAACGUAUCCCGUGACAACCAGAGACAUUCUUCAAAGGACAGAGGACUCGGRUUGGCGACACGGUCCAUCUACCACCAMCCUACUGAAGCGCAGCUCAGAAUUCGCUGGAUAUUUAUUGUGCCAUUUUCACUGGUUCCCCCAAGGCCAUAAACCGUGUGCUUGUGAACAGGAUCAUCCACACUGCAGUCCAGGGCUUCUGUCUGCAGACUGAGGGCUUCAGCCAUAAACUCUUCAGCUUCUUCUCCAGAGCACUGCUCAAUGUCAGGCGGGAGAGACACUUGCCGGUGGUGGAGCACUUGGUCUGCUGCCAUGAACUGCCGUAUGAGGGUGUGUCGGCUGGGUGAGGAGCUCCUGCCCUCUGUGCUCUACGUAUGGAGACAGAUAAGGCCCAGCAGCACUCUCAAAGAGGAGAUAGUAGAGUUAUUCAACCUGCAGCUCUGUGUACAUCAUCUCAAGGGUCAAAGACACAAGACACAGGAAUGGCUGGAAUGUUGUGAAUAGACUGAAAACUGAAAAAACACCAUUGUCUUAUGAAUCUGUUUAGAUGUUAAACAAUAAAAACGGUGUAGAACAACA